UGUGCCAAGCAGCCGCGGUAAUUCCAGCUCCAAUAGCGUAUAUUAAAGUUGUUGCGGUUAAAAAGCUCGUAGUUGGAUCUCGGCGGGCAGGGGGUGGUUCGCUCUUCAGCGCUACUGCCCCGCUUUGCCCGUGUGAUUGGCGGAGGUUUCGGGGUGCUCUUCGUUGAGUGACUCGGAGCGCCGUCAGGUUUACUUUGAAAAAAUUAGAGUGCUCAAAGCAGGCUUUUCACGCUUGAAUAUUCGUGCAUGGAAUAAUGGAAUAGGAACUCGUUUCUAUUUUGUUGGUUUUCGGAAAUCGAGUUAAUGAUUAACAGGGACAAUUGGGGGCAUUAGUAUUCAGACGACAGAGGUGAAAUUCUUGGACCGUCUGAAGACUGACUACUGCGAAAGCAUUUGCCAAGAGUGUUUUCAUUAAUCAAGAACGAAAGUUAGAGGUUCGAAGGCGAUCAGAUACCGCCCUAGUUCUAACCAUAAACGAUGCCAGCUAGCGAUCUGCCGAGUUUUUUUUGUAGGCUCCGCAGGAAGCUUUCGGGAAACCAAAGCUUUUGGGUUCCGGGGGAAGUAUGGUUGCAAAGCUGAAACUUAAAGGAAUUGACGGAAGGGCACCACCAGGAGUGGAGCCUGCGGCUUAAUUUGACUCAACACGGGAAAUCUCACCAGGCCCGGACACUGGAAGGAUUGACAGAUUGAGAGCUCUUUCUCGAUUCGGUGGGUGGUGGUGCAUGGCCGUUCUUAGUUGGUGGAGUGAUUUGUCUGGUUAAUUCCGAUAACGAACGAGACUCUGUCCUGCUAAAUAGUUGGGUCGUCCUUCGUGCGAUCCAAGUUCUUCUUAGAGGGACUGGCUGCGUCUAGCAGCACGAGAUUGAGCAAUAACAGGUCUGUGAUGC
rnacentral:rRNA from 1 species